GACGAACGCUGGCGGCGUGCUUAACACAUGCGAGUCGAACGGUGAAGCGCCUUCCUUUUUGGUGGGUGUGGAUGAGUGGCGAACGGGUGAGUAACACGUGAGUAACCUGCCCCCUUCUUCUGGAUAACCGCAUGAAAGUGUGGCUAAUACGGGAUAUUCUGGGUCUGUCGCAUGAUGGGUCUGGGAAAGAUAUUGUUUCGGUGGGGGAUGGGCUCGCGGCCUAUCAGCUUGUUGGUGGGGUGAUGGCCUACCAAGGCGGUGACGGGUAGCCGGCCUGAGAGGGUUGACGGUCACACUGGGACUGAGACACGGCACAGACUCCCACGGGAGGCAGCAGUGGGGAAUAUUGCACAAUGGGCGCAAGCCUGAUGCAGCGACGCCGCGUGAGGGAUGGAGGCCUUCGGGUUGUGAACCUCUUUCGCCAGUGAAGCAGGCCUGCCUCGUUUGUGGGUGGGUUGACGGUAGCUGGAUAAGAAGCGCCGGCUAACUACGUG
rnacentral:rRNA from 1 species